GAACUGCUGACGAGUCCCAAACGGGACGAAACAACUGUCCAGUGC
rfam:Echinostoma caproni strain Egypt genome assembly, scaffold: ECPE_scaffold0017728